UUAUAAUUUAAAGCUUGCUCUAGAUCUAAACUUGUGCGAUGACAACUUGAUCUAAAAUCUAAGUUGUUAACGGAUAUGAUAUGGGAAGGUUGAGCUGCUGUUUAUCUGUUCCUAGAGAUGCUAGAAUUCUGGAGAAUUUUAUCUUUGAAAAAUCUUUAAAAUAUUGCAUGAUGAGUUCCUGUAUGAUGAGAGUUUAAAUUCCUACCACAGCCAUAUAUACAUGCUUGCUAGACUUUGAGCCACACAUUUAUUAUUUACUGCUUAUGAGCAUUGAGUGUGGUCAAGCUGUGUAGACCCUUAGGAGCAUGUCAUGUGGUUAAAUCAAGAUUCACUUGCACGGUCACUCAUAUAUGCUACUUCUACUCCGGAAGUACCAUCCACAUAUAUCCAUCUCCAGAACCACCCAAAAAUAUUCUACUCCUAAUCCGGGAGAGAAUAGCCAAAAAUAUUUCUGUUUUCUCUUGUGAAAUAAAUGCUCAAGUUAUCUUACUACUACCACUUGCUAUAUUAUCUCAAGAGAUGAGUGCUUUGAAAAGAAAAAAAAGAAAAGAGAAGAAAAGAAAAAAAUAAUAAACGAGUAAAUAAAAAGGGGCAAGUGCCCGGAACCUCGAAAGAAAGAAAAAGUGAGACGAGAGGUAAAAAUGGACAAGUGUCCGACAGUAGAAUUAGGGGUACAAGAUACCCACCUGAGAGGAAAGAAAAAGAAGAGCAUCUCAUUCUCCUCAUAAAGUUUCAAAAAGCAAGGAAGGUAUGUAUCCCCUCAAAAGAGCAAAAGUAGAAUUAGACUUUCACCAUUGUUAUCACCAUCAUCACCAUACACCAUUCAUUCGCCACACAUGCACAUCUUGAUUUGGCUUAUUGAUUUAUUUCUUUGGAUCCAUGGUUUGACUAUACAAUAAAUGUCUUGUAAGUAUGUAUAAUUUAUCUCCCACCUAUGAGCUCUAGAUAUUAAAGCCUUAUUAGGGUAGGGUAAGAGAGAAGGCAAUGUCGCUAUGCCUUAUACCACAAAUACCAUAUAUCUUGAGAGAAGGCAUAUACCAUCACUACCUUGGUAAGGAUCCAGAAAUACCACAAAAGAGAGAUUUAGAGAGUCAUACAAGGAAUCUCUGAGUUUUAUUUGAAAAUCUGCAAAAACUCCAGAGCUAUAGCUGAUCAAGAAUAAGAGACAUGGCACUUGGCUAGACUGUUCUAUCUUUUAACUACUCAAGACAGAAGUGAUGGUUACAAGUCCCAUGGUGAAAGGUAAAGUAAGUUUUAGUUCUUGACAAUUUACUCUAACUCAGAGAUGAGAUCUUAUUUAAAAGCAUGUGUACCGUCAAAAUUUUAAGAUAUUGCAACAACUUCUGAUCCAUUGCUGAGUCUAUCCUUGCUCAGGGACGAGCAAGAGGUAAGCUUGGGGGAGUUUGUUGACGGUCCUUAAGUAUCAAAUUUAAUUAUCAAAUGAACAAAGAAAAGGAUCCAAAUGAAAUCAACAUCUAGACUUAGGGUUUUAUCUGACAGAAUUCCACGAGUUUUGGUGUUUGUCUAUUUCUGUAGGGGGUUAUCAGGAAAUACGGAAGAAAGGCCCACACGUCGGGAUUACAUAGAGAUAUUAAUGUGCCUUGCAAUUAUCUUACAUCUAGAAGACUCCAGAAGCCACAGGAAGGAAGCGGAGGCCGAACGGGGCUAGAGGCAGGGCGCCCGCCCUCCUGCCCUGGGCGCCCGCCCUGACUUGGAGCCCAAUCAGGACUCUUUCUCUCGGGAGAUCUCCACCGACCUAAAGGAUCAAGAAUAACCGUUCAAUCAAUGUCGGUAUGAUCCGACGGCCCAGGUUCACUUGAGGGGACUAUAUAACCAGACCCCCUGGCCCCUGGAGGAGGCACCCCUUGAUCAUUAUUCAUUAUUCAUAGACAGAGCAAAAGCUAGGGUUUAGAGAUGAGAGCUCUCCUCUCUUCUCUAAACUAGAGUAGAUCUAGAUAGUAGCAAUAUGGAGAGCGAAGGAGGAUUAGAGGAGAGGCCGGCCUGUCGGUUCUUCCUCCGGUUGUACUUCGUCAUGAUCAAGCUCUAAUCAAGCUUGCCUAUGGGAUGACUCUGGUAAUCUACUUCUAAUUCAUUAUGCAAUUACUAAUCAUGUAUGCUCUGGUUCACAACUCUUUUGAGUACUUUAAUCUAUAGGACGCUAUAGGUGACAGUUGUAGUAUAGGUGUAAGCGUGGUGCUUAGAUCUAGAUUACUUGUGGAUAUCCCCUGUCUAGCUGGAUCGUGUGGCAGGCCACGUAGGUGACAGUUACGUUGGUCCUCUGUAGUCCACCUCUCGUUAGCAGGACGGGUAGGGUUUAUCGGCCUAAGGAUAAGCAUCCUUUGUGGUGUACUCUUAUCACGUGGUUUGUCCCAGACAUAGACAUACCCCUUUGAAGUAGAGAAACCAUAGUUAUCCUCUCUAUUCUGCUACCAUCGCCCAUAUACUAGAAUUGCUAUAAUCUCUAUUCCCAUAUUAUCACUCACUGUUAUCUUACCUUUAAUAUUGUUCUUAUUCGAUUCUACCAUCUUUCCUAUUUACACCUAUUUACUUAUCUUGGUUAAGUUAGAGCGUAGAUCAGUUCUCCUGUUUCCCUGUGGAUACCAUAAAACCUUUAACCGGGUAAAAGCUAUAACGGUAUCCGUGCGCUUGCGGAUUAUCUGUGUGCGUAUAAAUACCAUAGUACACUCUAGUGCCAUGCUGGGGAUGACAACCUAGUAUUGAAGUGGUGUUAGCAAGUGUCAACACUUGGCUCAAUUUCAGAUGUUGAGUCUGCAACUCCCCUUGAAUAUGAGAUUCAUCCAUCAAUAGAAGAGGACAUAGACGGGACCAAUCCAAGAGAAACUCUGAACACUCAGAUUAGAGAUGAAGAUAACAUUAAUGAGCAUGGAAUUUAUUUCAUAGCCUCUUCGUUUACUCCAUACUCGUAUGAAACAUCUUCCCAAUCUAUUGGUCUCUCCAACAUCACCACAUUUGAGAUCUCCAACCCCCUCUUCCUUUCUAUUUAUAAAAACUUUAAAAGGGCGGUUGUCGAUGCAUAUGUCUAUAAUAAAUAUUACAGAUCUCAUCGUGUUGAUCUUGAUAUAGGUUAGCGUCGGAGGGGAAACCACUUCGCCAACAUAAACUGAUGGUUUCCCAAGGACAAGCUUAGUGUCCUAACAUAAGCACUGAUCAGACCGUAACAUGAGCUUUUAAUUAUUUGCAACAUUACCUUGUGUAUUGAGCAUAUAAGGAUAAUUGUAAACAUAUUCCUUCGGGUAUUCUUGUCACUAACCUUUCCAGGAUUGGAGCAAGAAGAUCGGAUGAAUGACGAGCACAAGGUAUGUCCAACCAAUCAUCAUACAACAUUGAAUUAAAUUCAUCCAAACUUGAAUUUUGCAAAAUUCAAGCUUGGGGGAGUACUUUACAUAAAAACAUCCAUUGCCAUGUUGCUAUGUUGGUUGUCCCUACCUUUGAGACAUGCUCAAUUUGUUAAAUACUAAUCACACUACUUCAUCUCCACUUGAGUAGAUCUCUAUAAAUGCUCUCAUGCUACCUUUAUUUGCUUUAGUAUAUGUCUAGGUUUGGAGUAGUUUCAUUUAACUCUUAAAUAAGCAUGGUGCUUAGUUUUGGAAUGAUGAUCUCACUUCCAAGGGAUUUUAAAUUAAGCAUGGUGCUUAGGUUAAAAUGCCCUCCUAAAUCAAAUUAGACAUGGUGUCUAGGUUGAUUUUUGAGCCAAUAGUAUGCUAUAGUAGAUAUUGGAUAUUUUGUUGGACUAACCCCUGCAUGAAAACUUUCAAUAUCAACAUGGGAAGUCCUGAGAUAAACUCAGAUUGGAGACAAAGGGAGAGACAUAUCAAGUUUAACAAUUUACACAAGGAAGACGUAGCUCAUAAGAGAUGAUCCAUGGAGGGUGCCACAAACACGAUGCACAACCUCUAAGAAAGCAAAGCUUCCACAAGGUGAUACUGUACCAUCACUCUUCAAGUAAGGUAACAUCUUAAGGUACUUGACUAUCACUUUUAUAAGCUUCUCCUUGGUUCUAGUGUUGAUAUGAAUAAAAGAGACAAACAUGUAUGAUUUACAACUCUAGGUUAACCAACCCAAUCGAUUCAAUAUGUUUAGUCCUUCCACCUUUGUGAUCCCACACUCCUAAUCAUAUGAGCUAAAAUGUUGCACACUCAAUCUUUGGAAGAUAUAUAAAAAAACAUAAGUAUAGAUAGAUUAUCUUUCCAUUAGGUUGAGCGAUCUGAUCUGACAAAUGUUUUUAAUACUACACUCAUGAUCUUAUUAUCCAUCAAAUUUUUCUUGCUCACUAUGCUUAAGGUUAGAGAAGAACAAAUACACUUUUGGUUCUGUUGGUGUUUUCCACCAGCAGGGCCCAUGCACUUGAUCUCUGCCUUCUCUAUGAGCAGGUACACUAGGAGCAAAACAUAGUGGAGUUUUACAACUCCCAGAUUCCACCAAGUGAAGGACCUAGAUCUACAAGCACAAACACACUGAGCAAGAUGCUGCCAACGCCGCACUUCGAACUGCUGGGGAAACGAAGAACAUGGGUGACACUGUAUCAAGAUGUGCAGACAUCAAGGUCCACACCUGAAUCAAAUGACGCACCUAAAGAAUAAACACAGUGAGAAGUCUUGUUCAGAAGCUUAAAACAUUGAACCCUCGCCGAAAGGUAAAAUCGGUAGUUAUCCAUAUUUAUCCUUUCUGCAUUCCCUUUUCCCUUAAAUUAUUUACUUUCCUUAAAUGGCUUGUUAGUUAAUCAUGCCAUCUUGAAAAGAAAAUAAAAAUGUUAAAAAUAGUAAGCCCCAUGUGAGUAUGCUCGUGGCAUAAAACCCAUAAGUACAUUCACUGUGGUGGCGUAAAAAAUAAAAUAAAAAUAUUCCUGUCCUAUAAAAAUGAAAAUAUAAAAAUAAAUUUAUGAUCCUACCAAAGAGAGUAAAUAUUUAUUAGAGGAAGCUCAACGGCUAAGAGAUUUUAUGCUAACACUUAACCAGUUCCACAAAGCUUUGUUGUCUAUUUGAGCUCUACAGAAUUCAAGGAUCAAAGAAGACUAGCAGACGGAGGACAUCCUAAUAGCUGUCAAGGUGCUGCCGACAUUCAAAUAUACCUCCGCCACCUGCUAGCUACAUCAGAAAAAAUUACGUCAAAAUCCAGCUUGGGGGAGAGCACCCCCAUUUAUCCAGCUAAGUGUUUCUACUCGCGUUUAUACUUUACUCAAAUAAUAAAAAGAUGCAUAAUCAUAAAAACUCAAAUAAAGAUUUUGUGCUUAUAUAUAUAUCUUUGCUUAGUUUGCUAAAUAAAUAAAUAAAUAAAGUUUGCUAUGAACUCUCAAGAUAAGCUCUCACAUGGAAAUGAUGAAUAGUUUCUCUACCAUGACUAGUUCUCAAAAUUGAAAUCUCUCUCAAUUUUAGGCAUGACUGUUAUGAAUUAAGAUUUGCUCUAAACCUAAACUUGUGGGAAGAGUACUUGAUCUAACGUCUAAGUCGUUAAUGGAUACGAUAUGGGAAGGUUGAGCUGCUGUUUAUCUGUUCCUAGAGAUGCUAGAAUUAUGGAGAAUUUUAUCUUUGAAAAUCUUUAAAAUGUUGCAUGAUGAGUUUCUGUAUGAUGAGAGUUUAAAAUCCUACCACAGCCACAUAUACAUGCUUAUUAGACUAUGAACCAUACAUCUACUUUUUACUGCUUAUGAGCAUUGAGUGUGGUCAAGCUGUGUAGACCCUUAGGAGCUUGUCAUGCGGUUAAAAUCAAGAUUCACUUGCACGUUCACUCAUACAUGCUGCUUCUACUUCGGAAGUACGCAUCCACAUACAUCCACUCCUUUCCAUCUCUAGAUUCACCCAAAAUUAUUCUACUCCUAUCUAGGAGAGAAUAGCCAAAAACAUUAUCCUAUCCCUGUUAUUCCCCGCGAAAUAAAUGCUUGAGAUAUUUUGGUUACUACCACUUGCUACAUUAUUCCAGGAGGGUGAGUGCUCUAAAAAAAGAGAGAGAAAAAAAAGAGAAAAAUACGAGGAAAUAAAAAGAGGCAAGUGCCCGGAACCUCGAAAAAAAAGUGAGACAAGAGGUAAAAAUGGACAAGUGUCCGACAGUAGAAUUAGGGGUACAAGAUACCCACCAUAGAGAAAAGAAAAACAAAAUAUAGAGCAUCUCAUUCCCCUCAAAAAACUUCAAUGUGCAAGAAAGGUAUGUAUCCCCUAAAAAGAGCAAAACUAGAAUUAGACUUUCACCAUUGUUUUCAUCAUCAUCACCAUACACCAUUCAUUCGCCACACAUGCACAUCUUGAUUUGACUUAUUGACUUGUUUCUCUAGAUCCAUGGUUUGACUAUGCAAUAAAUAUCUUGUAAGUAUGUAUUAGCUGUCUCCCACCUAUGAGCUCUAGAUAUCAAAACCUUAUUAGAGUAGGGUGAGAGAGAAGGCAAUGUCACUAUGCCUCAUACCACAAAUACCACAUACUUUGAGAGAAGACAUAUAACAUCACUACCUUGGUAAGGAUCCAGAAAUACCAAAAAAGAGAGAGUUGAGAGAGUCAUACAAGAAAUCUCUGAGUUUUAUUUUGAAAAUCUACAAAAACUCUAGAACUAUAGUUGAUCAAAAAACAAGAGACAUGGCGCUUGACUUGACCAUUCUAUCUUUUAACUUCUCAAAACAUAAGUGACGGUUGCAAGCCCCAUGGUGAAAGGUAAAAUGAGUAAGUUUUAAGUCUUAACAGUUUACUCUAACUCAGAGAUAAGACCUUGUUUGAAAGCAUGUGUACCGUCAACUUUCUAAGGCAUUGCAGCAAUUUCUAAUCCAUCACUAAGUCUAUCGUUGCUCAGGGACGAGCAAGAG
rnacentral:lncRNA from 1 species